AGAUGUAGCUCAGCGGUAGAGCACUUGCCUAGCACAUGCACAAGGCCCUGGGUUCAAUUCCCAGCACUG
rnacentral:tRNA from 1 species